UUAAGCGACUAAGCGUACACGGUGGAUGCCCUGGCAGUCAGAGGCGAUGAAGGACGUGCUAAUCUGCGAAAAGCGUCGGUAAGGUGAUAUGAACCGUUAUAACCGGCGAUGUCCGAAUGGGGAAACCCAGUGCAAUUCGUUGCACUAUCGUUAACUGAAUACAUAGGUUAACGAGGCGAACCGGGGGAACUGAAACAUCUAAGUACCCCGAGGAAAAGAAAUCAACCGAGAUUCCCCCAGUAGCGGCGAGCGAACGGGGAGCAGCCCAGAGUCUGAAUCAGCUUGUGUGUUAGUGGAACGGUCUGGAAAGUCCGACGGUACAGGGUGAUAGUCCCGUACACCAAAAUGCACAGGCUGUGAACUCGAAGAGUAGGGCGGGACACGUGGUAUCCUGUCUGAAUAUGGGGGGACCAUCCUCCAAGGCUAAAUACUCCUGACUGACCGAUAGUGAACCAGUACCGUGAGGGAAAGGCGAAAAGAACCCCGGCGAGGGGAGUGAAAAAGAACCUGAAACCGUGUACGUACAAGCAGUGGGAGCACCUUCGGGUGUGACUGCGUACCUUUUGUAUAAUGGGUCAGCGACUUAUAUUCUGUAGCAAGGUUAACCGUAUAGGGGAGCCGCAGGGAAACCGAGUCUUAACUGGGCGUUAAGUUGCAGGGUAUAGACCCGAAACCCGGUGAUCUAGCCAUGGGCAGGUUGAAGGUUGGGUAACACUAACUGGAGGACCGAACCGACUAAUGUUGAAAAAUUAGCGGAUGACUUGUGGCUGGGGGUGAAAGGCCAAUCAAACCGGGAGAUAGCUGGUUCUCCCCGAAAGCUAUUUAGGUAGCGCCUCGUGAACUCAUCUUCGGGGGUAGAGCACUGUUUCGGCUAGGGGGUCAUCCCGACUUACCAACCCGAUGCAAACUACGAAUACCGAAGAAUGUUAUCACGGGAGACACACGGCGGGUGCUAACGUCCGUCGUGAAGAGGGAAACAACCCAGACCGCCAGCUAAGGUCCCAAAGUCAUGGUUAAGUGGGAAACGAUGUGGGAAGGCACAGACAGCCAGGAUGUUGGCUUAGAAGCAGCCAUCAUUUAAAGAAAGCGUAAUAGCUCACUGGUCGAGUCGGCCUGCGCGGAAGAUGUAACGGGGCUAAACCAUGCACCGAAGCUGCGGCAGCGACACUAUGUGUUGUUGGGUAGGGGAGCGUUCUGUAAGCCUGCGAAGGUGUGCUGUGAGGCAUGCUGGAGGUAUCAGAAGUGCGAAUGCUGACAUAAGUAACGAUAAAGCGGGUGAAAAGCCCGCUCGCCGGAAGACCAAGGGUUCCUGUCCAACGUUAAUCGGGGCAGGGUGAGUCGACCCCUAAGGCGAGGCCGAAAGGCGUAGUCGAUGGGAAACAGGUUAAUAUUCCUGUACUUGGUGUUACUGCGAAGGGGGGACGGAGAAGGCUAUGUUAGCCGGGCGACGGUUGUCCCGGUUUAAGCAUGUAGGCUGGUUAUCCAGGCAAAUCCGGAUAAUCAAGGCUGAGGUGUGAUGACGAGGCACUACGGUGCUGAAGUAACAAAUGCCCUGCUUCCAGGAAAAGCCUCUAAGCAUCAGGUAACAUCAAAUCGUACCCCAAACCGACACAGGUGGUCAGGUAGAGAAUACCAAGGCGCUUGAGAGAACUCGGGUGAAGGAACUAGGCAAAAUGGUGCCGUAACUUCGGGAGAAGGCACGCUGGUGUGUAGGUGAAGUCCCUGCGGAUGGAGCUGAGACCAGUCGAAGAUACCAGCUGGCUGCAACUGUUUAUUAAAAACACAGCACUGUGCAAACACGAAAGUGGACGUAUACGGUGUGACGCCUGCCCGGUGCCGGAAGGUUAAUUGAUGGGGUUAUCCGUAAGGAGAAGCUCUUGAUCGAAGCCCCGGUAAACGGCGGCCGUAACUAUAACGGUCCUAAGGUAGCGAAAUUCCUUGUCGGGUAAGUUCCGACCUGCACGAAUGGCGUAAUGAUGGCCAGGCUGUCUCCACCCGAGACUCAGUGAAAUUGAACUCGCUGUGAAGAUGCAGUGUACCCGCGGCAAGACGGAAAGACCCCGUGAACCUUUACUAUAGCUUGACACUGAACAUUGAGCCUUGAUGUGUAGGAUAGGUGGGAGGCUUUGAAGCGUGGACGCCAGUCUGCGUGGAGCCAACCUUGAAAUACCACCCUUUAAUGUUUGAUGUUCUAACGUUGGCCCCUGACCGGGGUUGCGGACAGUGUCUGGUGGGUAGUUUGACUGGGGCGGUCUCCUCCCAAAGCGUAACGGAGGAGCACGAAGGUUAGCUAAUCCUGGUCGGACAUCAGGAGGUUAGUGCAAUGGCAUAAGCUAGCUUGACUGCGAGCGUGACGGCGCGAGCAGGUGCGAAAGCAGGUCAUAGUGAUCCGGUGGUUCUGAAUGGAAGGGCCAUCGCUCAACGGAUAAAAGGUACUCCGGGGAUAACAGGCUGAUACCGCCCAAGAGUUCAUAUCGACGGCGGUGUUUGGCACCUCGAUGUCGGCUCAUCACAUCCUGGGGCUGAAGUAGGUCCCAAGGGUAUGGCUGUUCGCCAUUUAAAGUGGUACGCGAGCUGGGUUUAGAACGUCGUGAGACAGUUCGGUCCCUAUCUGCCGUGGGCGCUGGAGAAUUGAGGGGGGCUGCUCCUAGUACGAGAGGACCGGAGUGGACGCAUCACUGGUGUUCGGGUUGUCAUGCCAAUGGCACUGCCCGGUAGCUAAAUGCGGAAGAGAUAAGUGCUGAAAGCAUCUAAGCACGAAACUUGCCCCGAGAUGAGUUCUCCCUGAGACUAUAAGUCUCCUGAAGGAACGUUGAAGACGACGACGUUGAUAGGCCGGGUGUGUAAGCGCAGCGAUGCGUUGAGCUAACCGGUACUAAUGAACCGUGAGGCUUAACCUU
rnacentral:rRNA from 1 species